rnacentral:misc_RNA from 1 species
CUCGAAUAAGACAAGAAUGGAGUCAUAAAGUCACAGACGGCUCCAGCAGAACCAAAAAUAUAAGAAAAUAGAACCCAAGGAAGUAUGUAAUCACACACUUACAAAGAUUUACCUCAAGUAGCACUUGUAAAUCACUCAAUGGGAAUUGAAAUUCAUUCUUAUAGUUGUUUCCAACAAUAAGUUUGUAGCUACAUCAGGAAGCUAAAACCAAAGCAAAUUUUACACAACUAU